GCCUCCAGGUCCUUCCCUUCCGCGUCGAUUCGAUCGUCACUCCGAUUCGCGCCGCCCGGCCGCGCGCCGGCGCGAUGCUCCGCUGUGCGUCACGGCGUCACCGAGGUGCGGCGGCGUCAACAACAACAAUCACGGUGUCCCCCGCGUAAUGCGGGAUGCAGCACCAGCAGCGCCGCCAACUGUGUGGCCAAACAGACUUCGCACACCUAGUAUGAGACCUUCAGCAAACUCGCCUGGUCCCUGAAUUGCUCCCUGGAAAUCGAAUUUACUGAUAGCUAUAGCCUCCGUCCGAAAGGGUCAUGAAAGGAAAUGGAAUGGACUGGACCAGACCGAUGAGAGUUCGGAGCCAUAAAAAACUUACCCAUCGACACUGAAAAAUAGUUCACUAGUUGGAGUGUACACAGCUUUAAGGGCAAUUUUACAAUUACCUGGAUAAUGCUGCGAAGAGAAACAAUGAAACCUCCAUCUUCAACUUGAACCUCUGACACUAAGCCCCACUGCAAAGGUGACUCCUACACGAAGGAUACGCUCUUGAACUGUUCCACCAGAGCUGCUUUUCAGAGCCAAAGCAUCUCUUCCAUGAGCAUCACCUUCUUUAAGUUCUAGCUCAGCCUUCCCGCCACUUUCUAGAACAACUGUAGCAAUUCCGCUGCUU